CUCCCAGACUCCUACGGGAGGCAGCAGUGGGGAAUAUUGCACAAUGGGGGAAACCCUGAUGCAGCGACGCCGCGUGAGUGAAGAAGUAUUUCGGUAUGUAAAGCUCUAUCAGCAGGGAAGAUAAUGACGGUACCUGAGUAAGAAGCCCCGGCUAACUACGUGCCAGCAGCCGCGGUAAUACGUAGGGGGCAAGCGUUAUCCGGAUUUACUGGGUGUAAAGGGAGCGUAGACGGCGAUACAAGUCUGAAGUGAAAGCCCGGGGCUCAACCCCGGGACUGCUUUGGAAACUGUGUUGCUGGAGUGCUGGAGAGGCAAGCGGAAUUCCUAGUGUAGCGGUGAAAUGCGUAGAUAUUAGGAAGAACACCAGUGGCGAAGGCGACUUGCUGGACAGUAACUGACGUUGAGGCUCGAAAGCGUGGGGAGCAGACAGGAUUAGAUACCCUCGUA
rnacentral:rRNA from 1 species